rnacentral:snRNA from 1 species
CAGCACGCAGUGAGCAUAAAGCAAACUAUUAUUUCGCCUUUUACUAAAGAAUACCGUGUUGCUGCAAUUAGUGGCAUACGCCAAUUUUUGGAGGGAUUCUCUUCUUUAGAGCAC